rnacentral:rRNA from 1 species
GUGGGGAAUCUUCCACAAUGGACGAAAGUCUGAUGGAGCAACGCCGCGUGAGUGAAGAAGGGUUUCGGCUCGUAAAGCUCUGUUGUCGGGGACGAAUGUGCAGUAUUUGAACAAAGUACUGCAAUGACGGUACCUGACGAGGAAGCCACGGCUAACUACGUGCCAGCAGCCGCGGUAAUACGUAGGUGGCAAGCGUUGUCCGGAAUUAUUGGGCGUAAAGGGAGCGCAGGCGGGAAGGUAAGUCGGUCUUAAAAGUGCGGGGCUCAACCCCGUGAUGGGAUCGAAACUAUCUUUCUUGAGUGCAGGAGAGGAAAGUGGAAUUCCUAGUGUAGCGGUGAAAUGCGUAGAUAUUAGGAGGAACACCAGUGGCGAAGGCGACUUUCUGGACUGUAACUGACGCUGAGGCUCGAAAGCCAGGGGAGCGAACGGGAUUAGAAACCCCGGUAGUCC